rnacentral:rRNA from 1 species
UUUAAAGAGUUUGAUCCUGGCUCAGGACGAACGCUGGCGGCGCGCCUAACACAUGCAAGUCGAACGGUGAAGGGGAGCUUGCUCCCCGGAUCAGUGGCGGACGGGUGAGUAACACGUGAGCAACCUGCCUUUCAGUGGGGGACAACAGUUGGAAACGACUGCUAAUACCGCAUAACGUGCCUAGGGGGCAUCCCUUGGGUACCAAAGAUUUAUCGCUGAAAGAUGGGCUCGCGUCUGAUUAGAUAGUUGGUGAGGUAACGGCCCACCAAGUCGACGAUCAGUAGCCGGACUGAGAGGUUGAACGGCCACAUUGGGACUGAGACACGGCCCAGACUCCUACGG